rnacentral:rRNA from 1 species
GACAGAGGUGCCAAGCGUUAGGCGGAAUCACUGGGCUUAAAGCGUGUGUAGGCGGACUGGUAAGUACCUUGUGAAAUCCCACGGCUUAACCGUGGAACUGCUUGGUAUACUGCUGGUCUUGAGCCACCUAGGGGCGAGCGGAACAAAUGGUGGAGCGGUGAAAUGCGUAGAUAUCGUUUGGAACGCCGAUGGUGAAAACAGGUUGCUGGGGCUGCGCUGACGCUGAGACACGAAAGCCAGGGGAGCGAACGGG